UUCUCUGUCCUAGGACAACUAGGAAUGAGAGGCAAAGAAAUGUGAUGGAUUUGGAAAGGUUUGGGACCAGCUUGCCUCCCGUAGGCUCAAGAUCAACCAUCCCACAGAG